rnacentral:rRNA from 1 species
ACCAUGCAAGUCGAACGAUGAGAGGGAGCUUGCUCCCUGGAUUAGUGGCGAACGGGUGAGUAACACGUGAGUAACCUGCCCUUGACUCUGGGAUAAGCACUGGAAACGGUGUCUAAUACCGGAUACGAACUUCAGCCGCAUGGCUAGGAGUUGGAAAGAAUUUUGGUCAAGGAUGGACUCGCGGCCUAUCAGCUAGUUGGUGAGGUAAUGGCCCACCAAGGCGACGACGGGUAGCCGGCCUGAGAGGGUGACCGGCCACACUGGGACUGAGACACGGCCCAGACUCCUACGGGAGGCAGCAGUGGGGAAUAUUGCACAAUGGGCGCAAGCCUGAUGCAGCAACGCCGCGUGAGGGACGACGGCCUUCGGGUUGUAAACCUCUUUUAGUAGGGAAGAAGCAAAGUGUUUUACAUGGAGUGACGGUACCUGCAGAAAAAGCACCGGCUAACUACGUGCCAGCAGCCGCGGUAAUACGUAGGGUGCAAGCGUUAUCCGGAAUUAUUGGGCGUAAAGAGCUCGUAGGCGGUUUGUCGCGUCUGCUGUGAAAACUGGGGGCUCAACCCCCAGCCUGCAGUGGGUACGGGCAGACUAGAGUGCGGUAGGGGAGAUUGGAAUUCCUGGUGUAGCGGUGGAAUGCGCAGAUAUCAGGAGGAACACCAAUGGCGAAGGCAGAUCUCUGGGCCGUAACUGACGCUGAGGAGCGAAAGCAUGGGGAGCGAACAGGAUUAGAUACCCUGGUAGUCCAUGCCGUAAACGUUGGGAACUAGAUGUAGGGUCCAUUCCACGGAUUCUGUGUCGCAGCUAACGCAUUAAGUUCCCCGCCUGGGGAGUACGGCCGCAGGGUAACA